GGCCUCAAAUCAGGUAGGACUACCCGCUGAACUUAAGCAUAUCAAUAAGCGGAGGAAAAGAAACUAACAAGGAUUCCCCUAGUAACGGCGAGUGAAGCGGGAAGAGCUCAAAUUUGAAAUCUGGUGGACUUUGUUCAUCCGAGUUGUAAUCUAGAGAAGUGUUUUCCGUGCCGGCCAAUGUACAAGUCCCUUGGAACAGGGCGUCAUAGAGGGUGAGAAUCCCGUACUUGACAUUGAUCACCGGCGCUCUGUGAUACAUUUUCAAAGAGUCGAGUUGUUUGGGAAUGCAGCUCAAAACGGGUGGUAAAUUCCAUCUAAAGCUAAAUAUUGGCGAGAGACCGAUAGCGAACAAGUACCGUGAGGGAAAGAUGAAAAGCACUUUGGAAAGAGAGUUAAACAGUAUGUG
rnacentral:rRNA from 1 species